CCCUUAGAUGUUCUGGGCCGCACGCGCGCUACACUGAUGCGUUCAACGAGUAUACAACCUUGAUCGAUAGGUCUGGGUAAUCUUUUGAAUGCGCAUCGUGCUAGGGAUAGACUGUUGCAAUUUUUGGUCUUCAACGAGGAAUUCCUAGUAAACGCAAGUCAUCAACUUGCAUUGAUUACGUCCCUGCCCUUUGUACACACCGCCCGUCGCACCUACCGAUUGAAUGGUCCGGUGAAGCCUCCGGAUUGGCGCGCACCUCGGUGCCGCCGAGAAGUUGGCUAAACCUUACCAUUUAGAGGAAGGUGAANUCGUAACA
rnacentral:rRNA from 1 species